UACGUAGGGGGCAAGCGUUGUCCGGAUUUAUUGGGCGUAAAGAGCGUGUAGGCGGUUAGGUAGGUCCGUUGUGAAAACUCGAGGCUCAACCUCGAGACGCCGAUGGAAACCAUCUGACUAGAGUCCGGAAGAGGAGAGUGGAAUUCCUGGUGUAACGGUGAAAUGCGCAGAUAUCAGGAAGAACACCCGUGGCUAAGGCGGCUCUCUAGUACGUGACUGACGCUGAGACGCGAAAGCGUGGGGAGCGAACAGG
rnacentral:rRNA from 1 species